rfam:Acidobacteria bacterium RIFCSPLOWO2_02_FTLL_68_18 rifcsplowo2_02_scaffold_7446, whole genome shotgun sequence.
CAAGUUCGAGACGUUGAAGGAGUAGCGACCCACAACGGCCCCGAGUGAUGCGUUGGCAGGGGAACGUGCAGGCCGGGUAUGGAGCCGCGAAAUCUAUGCCCCGGGGUGCCGACGCCGUAUAGGAAGGCGGAAGGCCACACUCGACGCGCCGCCAUCGCCAGGCGCGUCGGGACCCCGCGCGGUCGAAGACCC